AAAGAUAUCAUGACAUCGGGAGCACUAAUGCUCUAUUUUUGACAACUGUUUCAGAGUAUCACUUUAUGGGUCAUUCCGAGACAUUAUUAAUCAUAGGUCAUUGUGCAAUCUGUAUGUUUAAUCGUGGUCUUUACUAAACACAAUACACCAAACCGGAGUGUUAUUAAAAAGCCACGUGAUUUAUUAAGUCGCGCUAUCUAGAACUUGCACCACUGCUAUAGACAUAAUGUAGAUGAUUAUGAUGACUUACUAGCUUACCCGCGCAAAUUUGCAUCAUGUUAAAUAAAAAUUUAAACAGCUGCAGUA